rnacentral:RNase_P_RNA from 1 species
CAAGCAGAACGGCUUGUCGCUCGGGUGAAAGAAACCGGGAGGAAAGUCCGGGCAACACAGAGCACCAUGCUUCCUAACGGGAAGGGUUCGCCAUCCGGCGGAUACAGCCAGUGCCACAGAAAAUAUACCGCUCGCUUCGGUGGGUAAGGGUGAAAUGGUGGGGUAAGAGCCCACCGCGUUUCCGGCGACGGAAAUGGCAGGGUAAACCUCAUGGGUUGAAAGACCAAAUAGGCUAUACCGGUGUUUACACCACAGGGCUGCUCGUUCUGAUGUAUAGUGGGUAGGUUGAUAGAGGCGAUCGGCGACGGUCGUCCCAGAUAAAUGACAGGCUAUUGGCAGACGUGUCUGCCGAAAAACAGAACCCGGCUUACGAUUCUGCUAUUUUU